rnacentral:rRNA from 1 species
AUACAGAGGGGGCAAGCGUUAUUCGGAAUUAUUGGGCGUAAAGGGAGCGUAGACUGCAUGGCAAGUCAGAUGUGAAAGCCCGGGGCUUAACCUCGGAACUGCAUUUGAAACUGCCAAGCUAGAGUACAGGAGAGGUAAGUGGAAUUCCUAGUGUAGCGGUGAAAUGCGUAGAUAUUAGGAGGAACACCGGUGGCGAAGGCGGCUUACUGGACUGUAACUGACGUUGAGGCUCGAAAGCGUGGGGAGCAAACAGGAUUAGAUACCCGGGUAGUCCACGCCGUAAACGAUGAAUACUAGGUGUCGGGGAGCAAAGCUCUUCGGUGCCGCAGCUAACGCAUUAAGUAUUCCACCUGGGGAGUACGUUCGCAAGAAUGAAACUCAAAGGAAUUGACGGGG